CCAGACUCCUACGGGAGGCAGCAGUGGGGGAUAUUGCACAGUGGGGGAAACCCUGAUGCAGCGACGCCGCGUGUGGGAAGACGGUCCUCUGGAUUGUAAACCACUGUCCCCAGGGACGAAGAUGACGGUACCUGGGGAGGAAGCUCCGGCUAACUACGUGCCAGCAGCCGCGGUAAUACGUAGGGAGCGAGCGUUGUCCGGAAUUACUGGGUGUAAAGGGAGCGUAGACGGCGAAGUAAGCCUGAAGUGGAAGCCCGCGGCCCAACCGCGGAACUGCUUUGGGAACUGUUUAGCUGGAGUAUGGGAGGGGUAAGCGGAAUUCCUGGUGUAGCGGUGAAAUGCGUAGAUAUCAGGAGGAACACCGGUGGCGAAGGCGGCUUACUGGACCAUGACUGACGUUGAGGCUCGGAAGCGUGGGGAGCGAACAGGAUUAGAUACCCGUGUACC
rnacentral:rRNA from 1 species